rnacentral:rRNA from 1 species
AUAUCAAUAAGCGGAGGAAAAGAAACUAACGAGGAUUCCCCUAGUAACUGCGAGUGAAGCGGGAAAAGCUCAAAUUUAAAAUCUGGCGGUCUUUGGCCGUCCGAGUUGUAGUCUGGAGAAGCGUCUUCUACGYCGGACCGUGUACAAGUCCCUUGGAACAGGGCGUCAUAGAGGGUGAGAAUCCCGUCCAUGACACGGACCGCCGGCGGUUUGUGAUGCGCUCUCAAAGAGUCGAGUUGUUUGGGAAUGCAGCUCAAAACGGGUGGUAAAUUCCAUCUAAAGCUAAAUACUGGCGAGAGACCGAUAGCGAACAAGUACCGUGAGGGAAAGAUGAAAAGCACUUUGGAAAGAGAGUUAAACAGUACGUGAAAUUGCUGAAAGGGAAACGCUUGAAGUCAGUCGCGUCGGCCGGGGCUCAGCCUUGCAUUCGUUUGCUCGGUUUACUUCCCGGUCGACGGGCCAGCGUCGAUUUUGACCGUCGGAGAAGGGCCAGAGGAAAGUGGCACCUUCGGGUGUGUUAUAGCCUUCGGUCGCAUACGGCGGUCGGGAUCGAGGAACGCAGCACGCCUCUAAUGGCCGGGGCAUUCGUGCCCACGUAUCGUGCUUAGGAUGCUGGCGUAAUGGCUUUAAACGACCCGUCUUGAAACACGGACCAAGGAGUCUAACGUGCCUG